AUCUACAGCGAGUAACAGCCCAUGCUCAACACCUUAUAAGGCUGCACUACACAGAAUUCUUUUCAUACGCUGCGCAGAUACUACAAAGUCCUUUCUGUAAGUGGUUGCGUUAGGCUCGUACUUCUGACGCUAUACUUGGGAUUCGUGAAGGAACCGAAAAUAGCAAGCAUGAUCGCUGUCAAAGCUUUCGCAGCCGUCAUUUUGAUGGCGUUAUAUGCUGGAAGCACUGCAUACGAUACAGCUGACUGCGACUUUAGUGGUAUCGACCUGGAUGGAGCCCUGGACAGAAUUCUUGGUAAAUUGCCCCGGUACUACGUGCCAGAAGAUCGUGGAUUUCAGAGGGUUUUCGCUGGUCUGGAAGGUGGCCCACUGAACGUAACUGGUCUGGACAAGAUCAGGCGAUACGGACCGCUCCGCCCAUACUGUGUGAACGGGACCCGGCUAAUGAGUGUGGAUGUCAUCAACGAAGGGGACGUUAUCUUGUCGCUGCCGUGGAGGGCCUGCUUUGGACGAGAAGGCACGCUGAACUUGCGGACCACAUUAUCGCGGUUUACGCUCGUAUUCCGUGUCCCAACUGGAGGAUCGAACAACAAGAAAGUUCUCGUUAACCAAGGGCCAACUAUCCCUGUGAUUACCGUAGACCCACACAUAUAUAUCGAUGGCGCCGGUCGUGAAAUAAGGAUCGCUAGCAUGAUCCUAAGCAGGCUCGUGCCGGUGAUCACUGGAAAAAUGUGGGAUGACUACUUUUUCUUUUAUAUCACUGGGGCCCUCCAUCAAGCAAUAAAUGAAGUAUCGCCUGCUUGAUAUGUUUAUGAGCAUAAGUGAGUUCUCUGUCCUCGAAUACUUUAACUUCCUUCGAUUCAUAAAAAAAAAUAAACUUUGUACACUGCAA